GAAACGCGAUAGUUAAUGUGAAUUGCAGAAUUCAGUGAAUCAUCGAGUCUUUGAACGCACAUUGCGCCCAUUGGUAUUCCUUUGGGCAUGUCUGUUUGAGCGUCAUUUCUGCCCUCGAGCGCGGUUCGGCCCCUAGCGGGCCGGCCGCCGCCCGGUGUUGGGGCGCUGCGGGCCCUCGUGCCCGCAGGCCCUGAAAUGUAGUGGCGGUCCCGCCGCGGCGCCCCCUGCGUAGUAGUAAAGCACCUCGCAUCGGGUCCCGGCGGAGGCCAGCCGUCGAACCUCUCUUUUGAUGGUUUGACCUCGGAUCAGGUAGGGUUACCCGCUGAACUUAAGC
rnacentral:misc_RNA from 1 species